rnacentral:lncRNA from 1 species
UGUUUAAGUGCUGCAAAUUGCAGUGUUUAAGUGCUGCAAAUUGAAGUGCUUAGUUGCUGGAAAUUGAGAUGUUUUAUCGCCGUAAUUGAGGUGUUUAAGUGCUGCAAAUUUAAGUGUUUAAAUGUUGUAAAUUGACGUGUUAAAGUGCUGCAAAUUGAAGUGUUUAAGUGCUGCAAAUUGAAGUGCUUAGUUGCUGCAAAUUGAGAUGUUUUAUCGCUGUAAUUGAGGUGUAUAAAUGUUGUUAAUUGAUAUGUUUAAGUGCUGCAAAUUUAAGUGUUUAAAUGUUGUAAAUUGACGUGUUAAAGUGCUGCAAAUUGAAGUGUUUAAGUGCUGCAAAUUGAAGUGCUUAGUUGCUGGAAAUUGAGAUGUUUUAUCGCUGUAAUUGAGGUGUAUAAAUGUUGUUAAUUGAUAUGUUUAAGUGCUGCAAAUUUAAGUGUUUAAAUGCUGUAAAUUGACGUGUUUAAGUGCUGCAAAUUGAAGUGUUUUAAGUGCUGCAAAUUGAAGUGUUUAGUUGCUGGAAAUUGAGAUGUUUUAUCGCCGUAAUUGAGGUGUAUAAAUGUUGUUAACUGAUAUGUUUAAGUGUUGCAAAUUUAAGUGUUUAAAUGCUGUAAAUUGAAGUGUUUAAGUGCUGCAAAUUGAAGUGUUUAAGUGCUGCAAAUUGAAGUGCUUAGUUGCUGGAAAUUGAGAUGUUUUAUCGCUGUAAUUGAGGUGUAUAAAUGUUGUUAAUUGAUAUGUUUAAGUGCUGCAAAUUUAAGUGUUUAAAUGUUGUAAAUUGAAGUGUUUAAGUGCUGCAAAUUGAAGUGCUUAGUUGCUGGAAAUUGAGAUGUUUUAUCGCUGUAAUUGAGGUGUAUAAAUGUUGUUAAUUGGGGUGUUUAAGUGCUGCAAAUUUAAGAGAGGAGGAAUGCUGUAAAUUGAAGUGUUUAAUUGCUGCAAAUUGCAGUGUUUAAGUGCUGCAAAUUGAAGUGCUUAGUUGCUGGAAAUUGAGAUGUUUUAUCGCUGUAAUUGAGGUGUAUAAAUGUUGUUAAUUGAUAUGUUUAAGUGCUGCAAAUUUAAGUGUUUAAAUGCUGUAAAUUGACGUGUUUAAGUGCUGCAAAUUGAAGUGUUUAGUUGCUGGAAAUUGAGAUGUUUUAUCGCCGUAAUUGAGGUGUAUAAAUGUUGUUAACUGAUAUGUUUAAGUGUUGCAAAUUUAAGUGUUUAAAUGCUG